rnacentral:rRNA from 1 species
CCCUUAGAUGUUCUGGGCCGCACGCGCGCUACACUGGUCGAUGCAACGAGUUUCUUUCCUUGGCCGACAGGCCUGGGCAAUCUUUGAACAUCGAUCGUGAUCGGGAUAGAUUCUUGUAAUUUUUGAUCUUAAACGAGGAAUUCCUAGUAAACGCAAGUCAUCAGCUUGCGCUGAUUACGUCCCUGCCCUUUGUACACACCGCCCGUCGCUGCCCGGAACUGAGCCAUUUCGAGAAAAAUGGGGACAGACUGCUUGUGGGUGCGCAAGCACUUCUUGCAGAUUGAAACCAUCUUGAUCGGUAUGGCUUGAACCGGGCAAAAGUCGUAACA